GCACCAGUUAUGUAAGUUUAAGGACUUGUAUAGAGUGUGCUUGAACUACAUGCUUGACCAUAGAAGAAAAUGCAGAUUAAUGCUGCAUUUUAUGACAUAAAAUACAGCAGCGAUAGUUAGUAGUUAUGAUAGCCUUCGGGAAGCCAGAGCAAAUACUAAAGCUGCAGUGCGCAGGUCAAGUUAUCUUGGUCUGUUUGGUGGUCAGGCUACCAGUG
rnacentral:ncRNA from 1 species